GGAUUUGAGGACGAUCUGGUUUCAACAUCUGUCACUCCACUGAUUGCCAGGGUUGAUUCAGCUGAUACGGCUGGCUAAGUGGGUGUCCCCUUCCUCCCUCACCACUCUAUAUGUGUCCCUCCAAGCUGCACACUCUAAGAGGACAGCCUUCCCCGGACAGAGGCAGACAGGUAGAGGAUAUACAAGUAGCUGCGCUUCCCUGCUAGAACCUCAAAGGCAUGGAGGAACCCAGCAGUACCACAUCCUUUAACUCCAGCAGGGAACCACUAGCCUGGUU
rnacentral:snRNA from 1 species